AUCGGAACACAGGUGCUGCAUGGCUGUCGUCAGCUCGUGUCGUGAGAUGUUGGGUUAAGUCCCGCAACGAGCGCAACCCUUGUCAUUAGUUGCUACGCAAGGGCACUCUAAUGAGACUGCCGGUGACAAACCGGAGGAAGGUGGGGAUGACGUCAAGUCCUCAUGGCCCUUAUGGGUAGGGCUUCACACGUCAUACAAUGGUCGGUACAGAGGGUUGCCAAGCCGCGAGGGGGAGCCAAUCCCACAAAGCCGAUCGUAGUCCGGAUUGUUCUCUGCAACUCGAGAGCAUGAAGUCGGAAUCGCUAGUAAUCGCGGAUCAGCAUGUCGCGGUGAAUACGUUCCCGG
rnacentral:rRNA from 1 species